GGAAAAAAAAGUGCAGUGCUAUUUGCAGAGCAGACAGUGUAAUUUUGGCCUGCUGCAGGUAGGUAACAAAGAUGCUGUCAAACACAGUGUUUAUAGCUAAAAGCUCCAUGCAUUUUAUCCUGAAGCUGAUAACUCAGCUUUUUGAUGCUUUUGGCUUUGAACUUGAACUAAAAGUUCACCAUUGCCGAGCGUGAACUAAUUGGUAUAUGGUUCUCCUUCACAGCCAACCAGAAAGGUUUACAGUUUUUGGACGAAUAUUAAAGAAAGCUGGUAUCAAAAUAGGAAUACUAAGGAAGGAAAGAGGGAGUCCCUCUUACAAGAAGAUGCUCUUAGAGCUUCCUUGCUUGUCCAGGAAGUACAAUGAUGGUUUCUUUUCAUUAAAUACAUUCCAGGUGAAGCUAUAAAAUGUUCCCCAAUGAAAAGGAGCUGGCAAUCAGGAUGAUUGUAACUGCCACGCUGGUGAAAAUCUGCAUCAGCCUUACAGAAAGGUGCAAGAUCUAAGAAUCUUAAUCCAUUAGAAGACAGACCUAUAUAACAAACCUGGACAGGAGAGGGAUAAUAUAACACAAAUGCCUGCAAUGACCCAGAGGUACCCUCCUUAGUCUGCACUUUCACUGGAUGACAGCUCAGCCACGACUAGGAAGGAAAGCUGGCACAGAGAUUAGUACUAAGCCGCAGGGCUGGCAGACAACAAACAUAAAGCAUGAAGGGAAAUUUCAAGGGUUACAGAAUAUUCAGAAUGAAGAGAUCUUAUGCUACUUUUAUGAUUUGUUCCAAAAUACCAUGUACUUCAAAGGAAGGAGUGCAAACUCUCAGCACAUUCGUUCCAACCUAACAGAUGUAGACUACUUCCAAAAAGGUUUUUCUUCAGAUCAUAUGCAUGUGAACUCCCACCACCGUGAAACAGCUGCCCUGACCUGCUGCUGUCAAGAUUUGGUCCCUCCUGUUACAUUUUGAUGGUGAGAAAACAGCCUUCUACUGUCCACUUCUUAAGUUAUUUCUCCAGAUAUGCUUAUGGUGGUAACGUGAUGAUCCAUCAGUGCAUGGAAAGUUCAAAAUUUGGCUUGCAAAAUCUACAGUCAUAACAGUUAUUUCUUAUCCAAGUGUACUGUAGCUAUGUAAGGGAAUUUCAGUAUCGCUAUUCCCAUGUGACAGACAGCAAAACAGAGUGUGACUGUGGCCAAGCCAGGAAGAGAACCCAGAGCUCUGGCUGACUGCCUUCUCCAUGCUGCAUUUUUGUAUCAGUUAAGCCAGCAGUUAAAAUAAGACUCUGCCCAGAAAAUCACUGAUGCAG
rnacentral:lncRNA from 1 species